rnacentral:lncRNA from 1 species
UACUCACUGUGCAAGAACACUCACAUUUGGGUUCUUUGUUUCAGACAUUUGUUACUUCCCCACUCUGUGAAAAGGAACUAGACCUACAUUGGAAAUGUCGUGCUUCAACCAGUGUGGACUGCAGCUACACAUGAGACUUAUCUUGCUGUGCCUGACACAUGCGCAAUGAAGAUGAAACCAACAUCAGCUCCCAUUCUCCAUGAAGGUGGCUGCUUUGCUGCAUCUGUCCUCCUCUGGCAGUGUUGUCUGAUAUGCACUGGUUCAUCAGCAGUCAAUAAUCAGUCAAUGACAACUCCACUCACAUCUUGGCUGUUGAUUUCCUUUGGAGAAGAUCUGUAUAUGAUGCCAGCUUCAGGGGAGACUCACAUUCCCUUCAACAGGAAAAGGAAGAUUUAUUAACACCUUGUUUCUCAGUACCUCAACUCUGGACUUGAGAACAGAAUUACAGUGAAUCUAAGCUCAGGUAACAUGAGUCAUAAAACACUGAUUUAGGCAGCUUUACCUGAAUCUGCAUGUCUACAGACUGUGUGUUUGGUCUACAGUCAGAGGCAUGAGGCUCAAGCAAUUCUUAWGCAUUGUUUCCUCGUCAAGCAUCUGUGUAGUGCCCAGCUCAUGGCAGUGUCCAGUCUAGCAGACUGUGUGGAUUCACAUGAUGUCCAUCAAAUUCUUUUUUGGACAGACGAUCCAUCAUAACUAAUCCCACUUUUUUAAUAAAAAAAAUCCAUUACAUUAAUUAUUGUUCCUA